AGCGAACGCUGGCGGCAGGCUUAACACAUGCAAGUCGAACGGGCAUCUUCGGAUGUCAGUGGCAGACGGGUGAGUAACACGUGGGAACGUACCCUUCGGUUCGGAAUAACUCAGGGAAACUUGAGCUAAUACCGGAUACGCCCUUUUGGGGAAAGGUUUACUGCCGAAGGAUUGGCCCGCGUCUGAUUAGCUUGUUGGUGGGGUAACGGCCUACCAAGGCGACGAUCAGUAGCUGGUCUGAGAGGAUGAUCAGCCACACUGGGACUGAGACACGGCCCAGACUCCUACGGGAGGCAGCAGUGGGGAAUAUUGGACAAUGGGCGCAAGCCUGAUCCAGCCAUGCCGCGUGAGUGAUGAAGGCCUUAGGGUUGUAAAGCUCUUUUGUCCGGGACGAUAAUGACGGUACCGGAAGAAUAAGCCCCGGCUAACUUCGUG
rnacentral:rRNA from 1 species